GCAGCACUCCAUCGAGCAGGUGGUGGGCUAAAUUACAGAACACCGGUGUUCGAACUUCAUUCUCUUGUGCAAGUCUUAAGAUCCUUCAUAUUACUACUGUCAUUGAAGAAGAAGAAGAAGAAGAAGAAGAAGAAGUAGAGAAAGAGAACUUACCUGGGUUAAGAGAGACAGAGAGCGAGAGUGAGCAAGAACCAUCAGCGGUAUAUGCUACAAUACGACAAACCGACUAUGGCAAAACACUGCGGCGACAGUGGCUAAACACACAAGAAAUUCCAAAACUCAAUGAUGUCAGGCUCAUUUUUAUGUGACAGAAGAAGAAGAAGAAGAAGAAGAAGAAGAAGAAGAGGAGAGCUUGCCUAGAAAACCCCACACACUUUUGUGUAGUCAACUAAAUUCUCCACACUUGGAUUUCGCAGCGGUGACUAGCAGCGACAAGGUGAUUUGCUGCAGGAACUUUGGCAGAAGCGGCAAGCAGAAAUGCAUCGAGGGAGAGGGGAAGAAAUUUUACUGGGACAGUCGGAGUUUUAAGGUGUGACUAAAAUUUAAAUUUAAAUGUUAAUAAAGACUGUUUAUAAGGCAGGAUUGGACAAUAAAUUAGGAGGUUAAUUCUUUUUAUAAGUUAAUAAUUAACAUAAAAUAAUAUAAUUAUAAUUAUAAGUAUUGUUAUUAAUUCAAACCUAAUUAAUAAUAAUAUUUUGGGAAAUCCUAAAAAAAAAUUGUGUUCGCGGCCGUGGUCGUCGCCGCCUGUUCAGUAGUCACCCCUUCAUUUUCUCUUCUAUUUUUCUCUCCCGGAAACCUUCAUUCCUAAUACAUAUGAAAUCAACCACGGCCGUCGCCUUUGGCAGCAGCUUCAAUAGCGGCACUCGCAAUUUGUGAUGUUACUAUUCCGCUGUCCCUCUCUAAUUCAAAUGUUUUUGAGACUUCUAAAGUUAGGGCUUCGAAGUGGAUGAAGAUUCUUAAUUUGAAGAUGUCAAGGGUUGCCAUUGCUGAGGUAGUGCAAGCUUAAUUAAUGGCUGGCGGUGUUUCAAGAUUGGGGUUUUUCCGAUAGCGAUGAGCAGGAAUUUCAGCGAAGACUUUAGUAGAGGAUGUGGAAUUAGAAAUUUAAAAAUGAAGCAGAAGCAGCGGCGGCGGCGGCGGCGGCGGCUAGGAUGGUUGUGAAGAAGUGGUGACUGAUGAAUAUAUGAAAUUGAUGAAAAUGAUGGCGAGAAUACUGGAUUCUAUUACAGAAUGAUGCAGGAACCCUCGCAUCUUUGACACCGUACCCAGGCUCCGACAUGGCGCGUCGCUUCGGGGCGAAGACCUAGCCCACCCAUGCCCACUUUUCGCUACACCCAGGUGGUUCAAGUGCAACGCGUCACUCGUAGGAGACGCCCCAGCAAAUAUUUGGGAAGGCCUGGAAGACCAAUCAAGUGGCUUGAUGAAUCAAACUAGGAAUUGUAGUAAAAGAUCAAGAUAUGCGGAGACGGCCCAGACACGUUAUGCACCAAGGGUGGAACAUAAAUACAAGAAUUCAGCCCAAUCCAAGGAGUAAAAGGUGGGAUUAGUGCUACUCCAAUGGAAGAGAUUGUGAGUUGCUUCCUUUUGAGUGUUGAGAAGUUCUAGCUUUUGAGUAAUUUGGUAACCGCACUCUGCAUACAUCAACUAAGGUUGAGUAAUUGAAACACACCGGCUCAGAUCAGUCUACUGAAGUCACAGUGCAACGGCAAGUGAUCAAUUGAUUCACCAUUAUGUUUAAAGAGCCGAUGGAAUGAUGCCACUUUCCAACCCUUUUUUGGCAGAUUGUCGAUUGCAAGGAUUCUGUUCAAUGAGGAGAACCAGACGAAGAGAGAAACCUUUUGAGGAAUCAAGUGCUCCAAAGAGUUCUGGAGGAAAUUUUAUCCUGCCUUCCGAACCUUUGUGCAAUCAAAUGGGAGCAGAGGUUGUUAGCUAAGAACUAACUGCUUCAGGCAAUCCAAGUGCAGAUGUCCUCAUUCAAUGUUGAAAGAUUAAUGGAAUAUGACAGAUUCCAUUGGGCUACAAUUGCGGUGUGCUCAGAACCUCUGGGAGCUCUGGCAAGAGUCAGAUUCCAAAAAGUGUUGCCAUGUGCUCUAUAUCUAAAAUAUAAUUCACCUUUGCUUCCUGCAGGCUGCCAUAGAGAAGAUGUUGGGUGCUAUGAAAAGAAAUGAAGAUUGUAUACAGUGUAUGAAUUAAAUGGGAAUAUAAGGAAAGCUGUAUAUUAUUUUUUUUGAAAGAUACUGGUACACUAUUUAUUCUUUAUUUUAUUUUAUUUUUUACACAAGCUCUUUUUAUAAA